AACAUUCUAAUAUUGAUCAGUUCAAUCACAGAACAAUUCAUAUCAUAGAAACACUGAAGUGUUUAAAUUCUGCCACAAGGCCUCAUAUAUUCUAACACCUUGUACAAAUAUCACACAUUUGCACAUAGACAGAACUUCUUAAGUUCAACAUCUGAAAAGUUUUAAAAACUAGCAUUCAUUUGAAAUAUGAAUGAAGUUAGGAAAUUUGCCUUACGCACAACUAUAGCUUAUAGUUUACGCUGAACUGUUCAUUCCAAUUCCUAUAUAGCACAUAAGGAAAUAACACAUACACCAAUUAGUCAUAUACUUGACUUUACACAUUGGUUUACUUAACUUUACUUCUUAGGGUUAACGUUCUUAUAAACUAAGUUUACGCGACCAACUUCUUUUACCGGUUAACGGCUUCAUGAUAUACGGAG
rnacentral:lncRNA from 1 species